UACAGAGGGGGCAAGCGUUGUUCGGAAUUACUGGGCGUAAAGGGCGCGUAGGUGGCCUUCUAAGUUGAACGUGAAAUCCCUGGGCUCAACCCAGGAACUGCGUCCAAGACUGGGAGGCUUGAAUCCGGGAGAGGGAUGCGGAAUUCCAGGUGUAGCGGUGAAAUGCGUAGAUAUCGGGAGGAACACCAGUGGCGAAAGCGGCUACCUGGCCCAUUCUUGACGCUGAGGCGCGAAAGCUAGGGGAGCAAACGGG
rnacentral:rRNA from 1 species